GACGAACGCUGGCGGCGUGCCUAAUACAUGCAAGUCGAGCGGACCUCUUCGGAGGUCAGCGGCGGACGGGUGAGUAACACGUGGGCAACCUGCCUGUAAGACUGGGAUAACACCGGGAAACCGGUGCUAAUACCGGAUAAUCCUUUUCUUCACAUGGGGAAAAGCUGAAAGACGGUUUCGGCUGUCACUUACAGAUGGGCCCGCGGCGCAUUAGCUAGUUGGUGAGGUAACGGCUCACCAAGGCGACGAUGCGUAGCCGACCUGAGAGGGUGAUCGGCCACACUGGGACUGAGGCACGGCCCAGACUCCUACGGGAGGCAGCAGUAGGGAAUCUUCCGCAAUGGACGAAAGUCUGACGGAGCAACGCCGCGUGAGCGAAGAAGGCCUUCGGGUCGUAAAGCUCUGUUGUCAGGGAAGAACACGUACCGGAGUAACUGCCGGUACCUUGACGGUACCUGACCAGAAAGCCACGGCUAACUACGUGCCAGCCGCCGCGGUAA
rnacentral:rRNA from 1 species